CCUACGGGAGGCAGCAGUGAGGAAUAUUGGUCAAUGGGCGCGAGCCUGAACCAGCCAAGUCGCGUGAGGGAUGACGGUUCUCUGGAUCGUAAACCUCUUUUAUAAGGGAAUACAGUUUGGGACGUGUCCUUUUUUGUAUGUACCUUAUGCAUAAGGAUCGGCUAACUCCUUGCCAGCAGCCGCGGUAAUACGGAGGAUCCGAGCGUUAUCCGGAUUUAUUGUGUUUAAUGGGUGCGUAGGCGGCCUUUUAAGUCAGCGGUGAAAGUCUGUGGCUCAACCAUAGAAUUGCCGUUGACACUGGGGGGAUUGAGUAUGUUUGAGGCAGGCGGAAUGCGUGGUGUAGCGGUGAAAUGCUUAGAUAUCACGCAGAACCCCGAUUGCGAAGGCAGCCUGCCAAGCCAUGACUGACGCUGAUGCACGAAAGCGUGGGGAUCAAACAGGAUUAGAUACCCUUGUAGUC
rnacentral:rRNA from 1 species